UGGGGAAUAUUGCGCAAUGGGCGGAAGCCUGACGCAGCGACGCCGCGUGCGGGAUGAAGGCCUUCGGGUUGUAAACCGCUUUCAGCAGGGACGAAUACAGACGGUACCUGCAGAAGAAGCGCCGGCUAACUACGUGCCAGCAGCCGCGGUAAUACGUAGGGCGCAAGCGUUGUCCGGAAUUAUUGGGCGUAAAGAGCUCGUAGGCGGCCUGUUGCGUCCGCUGUGAAAUCCCGGGGCUCAACCCCGGGCCUGCAGUGGAUACGGGCUGGCUAGAGGCAGGCAGGGGAGAACGGAAUUCCUGGUGUAGCGGUGAAAUGCGCAGAUAUCAGGAGGAACACCGGUGGCGAAGGCGGUUCUCUGGGCCUGUACUGACGCUGAGGAGCGAAAGCGUGGGGAGCGAACA
rnacentral:rRNA from 1 species